rnacentral:rRNA from 1 species
AUACGGAGGGUGCAAGCGUUACUCGGAAUCACUGGGCGUAAAGCGCGCGCAGGCGGCUUGAUAAGUUGGAUGUGAAAGCCUACGGCCCAACCGUAGAACUGCAUCCAAAACUGUCAAGCUAGAGUCUGGGAGGGGAAGAUGGAAUUAGUUGUGUAGGGGUAAAAGCCGUAGAGAUAACUAGGAAUACCAAAAGCGAAGGCGAUCUUCUGGAACAGUACUGACGCUGAGGCGCGAAAGCGUGGGGAGCAAACAGGAUUAGAAACCCCAGUAGUCC